GAUGGACAUCAGAAAUAGAUGGAGAGGUUGAGGGUAGAGGAAGGACAUCAGUAAUAGAUGGGAGAGGCUGAGGGUAGAGGAAGGACAUCAGUAAUAGAUGGGAGAGGUUGAGGGUAGAGGAAGGACAUCAGUAAUAGAUGGAGAGGUUGAGGGUAGAGGAAGGACAUCAGUAAUAGAUGGAGAGGUUGAGGGUAGAGGAAGGACAUCAGUAAUAGAUGGGAGAGGGUAGAGGAAGGACAUCAGUAAUAGAUGGGAGAGGUUGAGGGUAGAGGAAGGACAUCAGUAAUAGAUGGGAGAGGUUGAGGGUAGAGGAAGG
rnacentral:lncRNA from 1 species